AGAGAAGCAAAACAGUGAUGUGGAGCAAAACUCAAAAAGCGGUCUCAGUUCGGACUGAAGGCUGAAAUUCGCCUUCACGAAGUCGGAAUUGCUAGUAAUGGCAGGUCAGCAUACUGCCGUGAAUACGUUCCCGGGCCUUGUACACACCGCCCGUCACACCAUGAGAGUUUGUAACACCCGAAGUCGGUGAGGUAACCUAUUAGGAGCCAGCCGCCUAAGGUGGGAUAGAUGAUUGGGGUGAAGUCGUAACAAGGUACC
rnacentral:rRNA from 1 species